UAUUAAAAUAAUUCAGAAUACCUUUACUCCUUCAAAAAUUCCAAAUUCCUCAUAUUUUAUCCUUCAUAUUUGAUUCUUUUAUUUAAAAAAUUCUCCUAUUUAUAUCUCACACGCUCUCUCUUACGUUUAUCUCAUCAAGUGCAAGCCAAACACCCUUCCUUCCCCUCCAUCAUCGCAGCGUGGUCUUUUCCAUCGCGAUGAGAUUAAGUUGUACCCGUGGCGUUUUCUGUUCUCCGCAGCUCUGAGCAUUGUUUACGGGGGGGAGGUGGUAAGAGGCCACGAAUCGUGCACUCUGCCAGCUAGUGAGAAUAUAUUUAUUCGUAUGUUAAAAUGUCGGCAACCGGUCAAGAGUGUACUCUCUUUAGGCCGGCAGGCGGCUCUACGCUGAAUUGCAGAUACGGUGUGGUUUGAUGGUAGUCGCGAAACCGAUUCGACGCCGAUAACAAUUUACAUUCGCCGAUACCGAACUGGGACACGAUGCAGGUGCAACAGCAAAGGAGAAGAAGCAAUGGGCCCUGGGAUUGAAGUGAAGCGAUGCAUUUAUCGAGGCCUGUACUUUGAAGCCACGUUUACCUCGGCCGGGGUAUAUAGGUUGCCUUUUAGAUCUCUUGCCGACCCCUUUCCUCUCUGCGGCCAUUUUUACGGAAACGAAAUUCACAGAGUGGGCAGAGCCGAUUCCAGCCUCAGAAGUUCAUCCACCGUGUAGUGCCGAGGUGCUAUUGUUCCAGCGCCAGCCGACGGAGACCAGACGAUGAGUGGAGGAGGAAGAGGUGGAGGAAGAAGCUAGCAAACGAGGAGGAUGCUAUCGAGAAAGAGGUGUAUCUAUAUAAAUAUCGAUCGAAACAAAUAUAUGGAAAAAAGUGAAAAAAAUCUUAUUCGUAUUUGUUGGGAGAAUAGAAUUCUCAAUGUAAAUGGGGCACCUGUUGCGUGGAGAUGUUUGAAAUUAUUGUAUCGUGCAUGCAAUGUCUAUUGAAAAUCAUGAAAUAAUAUAUUUUUAGAAUAGAACAAAAUCUUCGGAUAAUCUUCAAUGAUCAAUGACAAUAUAUUUAUAAUGGGUUAUCUGGAAAUGCAAAAAUAAGUAUAUAAUCAAUUUUUAAAAUAAAUUUAAGAAAUUAUGUUAUAUACGGAACAUCUUUUAUAUGUGUGAAUAUAUAUAUGCGUAUCUAUCGAUAGUAAAUAUAAUAAAAGAUGAAAAGUAAGCCUUUCCUUGGAGUUCAAAUGAUUCAUCACCAUAGCGCAUGCGUAUAUACAUUAAUUUCAAUCGGCAGCGAGCAAACUUUUCGUUACAGUCUAUUUCGCAAGCCCUCCGCCAAUAUAAAGGUCAUCGAUGCGCUGGCGAUUCUUGAUAAUUAUUACCUGUGAGAUUGUUAUCGGUCCAUCGUAGAGGAAUUGCUAGCGGGAUAUUCCACAAUAUUUUAGCUUUUUUUUUAUUCCAUUAGAAAAAUUCAAUAUGAUUGAAUAUGACCGAAUCUUGCCUCUAGCACUCUAUGAAACAAUUACAGUUUACUUUCUUACUGGAUAUUUUUGGGUAUGCAUUGAAUAUUUCAUGAUACGAUGUUCCAUAAUGCAAAAAACAUGAUAUGAUUAUAUAUGAAAUUCUAUACCUUUUCAAAAUCUAUGAAAAUAUUUUUCAUCAUAACAAUUUUUUAAUUCUUUGGAAUCUUUUAUCUUUUUUAUUUCAUUUUGGAGAUCUACCAUAAUAGAUAUUUUUCGCUACUGGUUUUUAAUCGCGAUUGGUUACGCCGCAUUAAGAUAAGCCUAGUGUCAUCUACCGGUAAUUAGUACAACCUUUUAUUCUCGUCGCAAGCGCACGCCUCGGUCAAUCACUUAACCAAUAAAUUCAAUUCCAUUCCUACGAAGAUUAUGAAUUUAUAGGUGUAAAAAUAGCCAAUCACGUGAAAGCAAGUUAUCAUUUAACCCGAUUUCUGGUAUUCACUAACAAUUUCAGACCGUCACGUCAAUCGACUCUCCGUCCAUCAACAAACCGAACAAACCGAAUAAAUAAUCUAAUAACAAUCAGACAACCUCGUUUUCGACGAUUAAGGAAACAUCGCACGCCCACCAAGCUCGUUUAUCAAAAACCGAUCGUUUGCUUUGGAUGUAACGAGUCGGCUCCGGAUAGAAAACGCCUUUUGUCCGCCGAUUUUUCGUCGUUGAAACGGCGAACGAUGCCGUGAUUCACAGAACGAAUCGGCCCGGUGAACGUACUUACAGCAUCGCACAAUAAUGACGCUCUCGAAAGGCAGCGCCACCACGACCAAUACUAUGCAACUACACAACGUCAUAUAUACAUACAAAUACGUAUCUAUAAAUACACGCAUACAGACGCACAGCAGUACACAGAUAAACGCAUACAAACACGUAUCGCGCAUGCAUACGUAUGCAUACGUAUAUCUACGUAAGGGAACAUAGGUAUAUGUGUACACGCGCGUAGUCCGUACACGGACCAAUAAUUCUCAAUCGCCGUUCGGAGCGUUCGCUACGGGCCGCUCGCACCGUCCCUUAAAUCUAGCAACGAGGCCGACCUUAUCGGGGGCCUUCCACCGUGCGCCAUUAUUGUGAGAUACUGUACGUCCUGAUCCGUCGUUUAGAGCCUAUCCAGACCGCGAAUCUCACGCGUUCGGCAGGCUGUUCUCUCUCUCUCUCUCUUUCUCUCUUUCUCUUACUUUUGUACAUGUAACCAGCAAAAGAGAACGAAAGAACGGAAGAUACGAGUAAAACAGAGAAAGAGAAAGAAAAAGGGGGGGGAUUUGAACGAGAAGAAAGAAGAGAAGACGUCUUUCUGUGUUAACCGUAGCGUUGUUGGGAGCGCAUGGCCACUUGGACUGGGCACAUCGCGGGGGAGGAGUUGAAUGUAAGGGGGGUGGUUGAGGAGGAGGGGGCUCAGGUAAUCAGAGGCACUAAACCACGAUACCGUGCUGGCAGUUAGAGGCCUCUAUCUCUCCUGUCGUUGGUGGUACAACACGCCCGGUAUUAUUUGCAGGCUGCCACAUUUGUCGUAGGUGGUCUUGCGACAGUGGCGUCGCGCGGCCCGUAUAAACGACGCCGUCUACGAUACACCGUGGUUCUCCUUCCUCGCGUUCUUCGUGGGUAACGAACGUGUGCCGCUGUUCCAACAGCGGGUCCACGCGGUUUAUACGCUUCUCCUAUUC
rnacentral:lncRNA from 1 species